CACUUGGAGAAAAGGGACUUGCACCAGGAACUUGGGGCGUAUGGAAGGAGACACUUGAAAGACAGACUGUGUCCUACAGUUAGCCUUCACCAUGCCAAGUAAGAAUUCAAAACUAAAAGGAACACCCAUGCAUCUUAAUAACCUGAAGAGGAAUGGGCACUGCCAAAGGAGAAAGAGAGUUAAACAAAAUCCCACUGUACAAGUAACAAUGGAGAAAAAAUGACAACUAUACAUACAUCUGAAUCCGUCUUUCUUCUCUGUCGGUCUUCAGAAUCAACAUCCACACUUCCAUUGAUUAUCUGUGUACAUUUUGGACAAAGUUUCCAGCCAGGUACAAGUUGUCUUCCAAAUUUUGCACUCAGAAAAGUGGCAUCAUCUAAGUCAAUUACAUGCAAAUUUUUUUUGGCUAAUUUUUUGUGUAUGUUAAAUGGGUCACAACAUGACUUCUGCAAAUCCUCAAAUCUGUCAAUGUAAAUUUUUGCAUGAUGGAAGCAAAUUGUAUUGUUCCCAGAAAGCGUCAUUCCAGUUCUAAGUUGAAGUAAAAGCAUAUCAUUUGAUGACAAUUCUUGCAAAGUCUUGAAACCUGUGUGCCGAGUAUAGUAGGUUUUAUGGCAUUCAUUUGUAGUACGAAGCUGGACUCCAACUGAACAUGGAUCCAUCAUUCUUGAUUUUACCAAAUUCUCCUCUUUUAUUUUGUCUAGAGAUCUCUCUCUCUUGUAGGUCACAUGCUGAUCACCCUAAACAAUAAAGAAAAACUUAACUGAAUUCUUAAGAAAAUGUUAGAUUUAUGCUACAAACUUUUUAUCUGGAAAAAUGAAAAAACAAUUGAUAAAAGUAAAAAAACUGCAAGAAAGACAUAAAAAGGUACUUACUGACAGACCACAAUAAACACAGUAUACUUAAUUUUAUCAUUAGAAGCAUUCCUUAGACCCACAUAAGAAAAUUUGCUAUCACAGCUUUCAUUUAACACCACGUAACAGAUAAAAGGAUGGAAAAGAAACAAGAAAUAUGAACUAGAAAGGUAAUUUACUGAGGAUGCUAAAAACCAAAGCCAUGUUAGGUAUUUUUUAUGGUAUCUUAAACAAGACACACAAGACUUCAAUGGUGAAAGCUAUCAAGCAGAGGACAAAAAAAGGCAUCCUAAAUAAAUGUAGGCAUAUAUAUCAAGAGUCUGACUCUAGUAAAUGUCAAUUCUCCAAGAAUUAUAAAUUCAAAACGAUUUCAAUCAAAAUCCCUUCAAGUGUUCCGCCCACUCCUACCUUGGCACUUAACCUGGUUUAUAUGGAAGAAUAAAGGUUCACAAUAAUCUAGAAGAAAAACAAAAGUGAUUUGCUAUAAAACUACUACUAUAAUUAAAACAGUAUGCUUUUGGUAUAAUACAGACAGAUCCAUGAAAGAUGAGAGCUUGGUGUAUGGCAUGUGGUAUUAUAAAUCAAUAGGUAUUACACACUAUUGGGAAAUGGAUUUAAUAAAAGAUGCUUGGAUAACUAACCAUAUGGAAAAAGAAUAAGAUCUGUUUCUCACAAAUAAAUAUUAAUUCCCAGAUGGAUUAAAUAAACAUGAAAGAAAAAUUGUAAAGAUGUUUAUAAUAA